GACGAACGCUGGCGGCGUGCUUAACACAUGCAAGUCGAACGGAAAGGCCCUGCUUUUGUGGGGUGCUCGAGUGGCGAACGGGUGAGUAACACGUGAGUAACCUGCCCUUGACUUUGGGAUAACUUCAGGAAACUGGGGCUAAUACCGGAUAGGAGCUCCUGCUGCAUGGUGGGGGUUGGAAAGUUUCGGCGGUUGGGGAUGGACUCGCGGCUUAUCAGCUUGUUGGUGGGGUAGUGGCUUACCAAGGCUUUGACGGGUAGCCGGCCUGAGAGGGUGACCGGCCACAUUGGGACUGAGAUACGGCCCAGACUCCUACGGGAGGCAGCAGUGGGGAAUAUUGCACAAUGGGCGGAAGCCUGAUGCAGCAACGCCGCGUGCGGGAUGACGGCCUUCGGGUUGUAAACCGCUUUCGCCUGUGACGAAGCGUGAGUGACGGUAAUGGGUAAAGAAGCACCGGCUAACUACGUGCCAGCAGCCGCGGUGAUACGUAGGGUGCGAGCGUUGUCCGGAUUUAUUGGGCGUAAAGGGCUCGUAGGUGGUUGAUCGCGUCGGAAGUGUAAUCUUGGGGCUUAACCCUGAGCGUGCUUUCGAUACGGGUUGACUUGAGGAAGGUAGGGGAGAAUGGAAUUCCUGGUGGAGCGGUGGAAUGCGCAGAUGUCAGGAGGAACACCAGUGGCGAAGGCGGUUCUCUGGGCCUUUCCUGACGCUGAGGAGCGAAAGCGUGGGGAGCGAACAGGCUUAGAUACCCUGGUAGUCCACGCUGUAAACGGUGGGUACUAGGUGUGGGGUCCAUUCCACGGGUUCCGUGCCGUAGCUAACGCUUUAAGUACCCCGCCUGGGGAGUACGGCCGCAAGGCUAAAACUCAAAGGAAUUGACGGGGCCCCGCACAAGCGGCGGAGCAUGCGGAUUAAUUCGAUGCAACGCGUAGAACCUUACCUGGGUUUGACAUGGAUCGGGAGUGCUCAGAGAUGGGUGUGCCUCUUUUGGGGUCGGUUCACAGGUGGUGCAUGGCUGUCGUCAGCUCGUGUCGUGAGAUGUUGGGUUAAGUCCCGCAACGAGCGCAACCCUUGUUCACUGUUGCCAGCACGUUAUGGUGGGGACUCAGUGGAGACCGCCGGGGUCAACUCGGAGGAAGGUGGGGAUGACGUCAGGUCAUCAUGCCCCUUAUGUCCAGGGCUUCACGCAUGCUACAAUGGCUGGUACAGAGAGUGGCGAGCCUGUGAGGGUGAGCGAAUCUCGGAAAGCCGGUCUCAGUUCGGAUUGGGGUCUGCAACUCGACCUCAUGAAGUCGGAGUCGCUAGUAAUCGCAGAUCAGCAACGCUGCGGUGAAUACGUUCCCGGG
rnacentral:rRNA from 1 species